rnacentral:lncRNA from 12 species
CCGAACUUGGUUCUGACAGAGACUGAACUGUUCCUUCAGUACACAGGAAAAUAAAAGGGGCAGAGCUGUGCAAGCACAGGCCCAUCCGUGGGUUAGGACAGCGCCAGCAGGUCGUGUGCUGCCACUGAGCUGUGGGAUCUCACUGCAGGAACUGCUGUACCGGCUGGAAGUGAGAGAUGAAGCACAUCUGCCUAAAUCACACACUCUAGCACAAUGCAUGACUCAUCCCUGCACCUAGAAAAGGAAUUGCUUUCGU